rnacentral:rRNA from 1 species
GACGAACGCUGGCGGCGUGCUUAACACAUGCAAGUCGAACGGAAAGGCCCUGCUUUUGUGGGGUGCUCGAGUGGCGAACGGGUGAGUAACACGUGAGUAACCUGCCCUUGACUUUGGGAUAACUUCAGGAAACUGGGGCUAAUACCGGAUAGGAGCUCCUGCUGCAUGGUGGGGGUUGGAAAGUUUCGGCGGUUGGGGAUAGACUCGCGGCUUAUCAGCUUGUUGGUGGGGUAGUGGCUUACCAAGGCUUUGACGGGUAGCCGGCAUGAGAGGGUGACCGGCCACAUUGGGACUGAGAUACGGCCCAGACUCCUACGGGAGGCAGCAGUGGGGAAUAUUGCACAAUGGGCGGAAGCCUGAUGCAGCAACGCCGCGUGCGGGAUGACGGCCUUCGGGUUGUAAACCGCUUUCGCCUGUGACGAAGCGUGAGUGACGGUAAUGGGUAAAGAAGCACCGGCUAACUACGUGCCAGCAGCCGCGGUGAUACGUAGGGUGCGAGCGUUGUCCGGAUUUAUUGGGCGUAAAGGGCUCGUAGGUGGUUGAUCGCGUCGGAAGUGUAAUCUUGGGGCUUAACCCUGAGCGUGCUUUCGAUACGGGUUGACUUGAGGAAGGUAGGGGAGAAUGGAAUUCCUGGUGGAGCGGUGGAAUGCGCAGAUAUCAGGAGGAACACCAGUGGCGAAGGCGGUUCUCUGGGCCUUUCCUGACGCUGAGGAGCGAAAGCGUGGGGAGCGAACAGGCUUAGAUACCCUGGUAGUCCACGCUGUAAACGGUGGGUACUAGGUGUGGGGUCCAUUCCACGGGUUCCGUGCCGUAGCUAACGCUUUAAGUACCCCGCCUGGGGAGUACGGCCGCAAGGCUAAAACUCAAAGGAAUUGACGGGGCCCCGCACAAGCGGCGGAGCAUGCGGAUUAAUUCGAUGCAACGCGUAGAACCUUACCUGGGUUUGACAUGGAUCGGGAGCGCUCAGAGAUGGGUGUGCCUCUUUUGGGGUCGGUUCACAGGUGGUGCAUGGCUGUCGUCAGCUCGUGUCGUGAGAUGUUGGGUUAAGUCCCGCAACGAGCGCAACCCUUGUUCACUGUUGCCAGCACGUUAUGGUGGGGACUCAGUGGAGACCGCCGGGGUCAACUCGGAGGAAGGUGGGGAUGACGUCAAGUCAUCAUGCCCCUUAUGUCCAGGGCUUCACGCAUGCUACAAUGGCUGGUACAGAGAGUGGCGAGCCUGUGAGGGUGAGCGAAUCUCGGAAAGCCGGUCUCAGUUCGGAUUGGGGUCUGCAACUCGACCUCAUGAAGUCGGAGUCGCUAGUAAUCGCAGAUCAGCAACGCUGCGGUGAAUACGUUCCCGGG